AGAAUCAACGCUGGCGGCGUGCCUAACACAUGCAAGUCGCACGAGAAAGGGGAGCAAUCCCUGAGUAAAGUGGCGCACGGGUGAGUAACACGUGAAUAAUCUACCUCCGAGUGGGGAAUAACUGAGAGAAAUCUUAGCUAAUACCGCAUAACACUUACGAGUCAAAGCAGCAAUGCGCUUGGAGAGGAGUUCGCGGCCGAUUAGUUAGUUGGCGGGGUAAUGGCCCACCAAGACGAUGAUCGGUAUCCGGCCUGAGAGGGCGCACGGACAUACUGGAACUGAAACACGGUCCAGACUCCUACGGGAGGCAGCAGUGGGGAAUUUUGCGCAAUGGGGGAAACCCUGACGCAGCAACGCCGCGUGGAGGAUGAAGCCCUUGGGGUGUAACUCCUUUCGAUCGGGAAGAUAAUGACGGUACCGAUAUAAGAAGCCCCGGCUAACUUCGUGCCAGCAGCCGC
rnacentral:rRNA from 1 species